rnacentral:rRNA from 1 species
UACGUAGGGUGCGAGCGUUAAUCGGAAUUACUGGGCGUAAAGCGUGCGCAGGCGGUUCGUUGUGUCGGCGGUGAAAGCCCCGGGCUUAACCUGGGAAUGGCCGUUGAAACUGGCGAACUGGAGUGUGGCAGAGGGGGGUGGAAUUCCGCGUGUAGCAGUGAAAUGCGUAGAGAUGCGGAGGGACACCGAUGGCGAAGGCAGCCCCCUGGGCUAACACUGACGCUCAGGCACGAAAGCGUGGGGAGCAAACAGG